UGGACGAAGUUGACGAAGCUGACGAAGUGGACGAAGUUGACGAAGUGGACGAAGUUGACGAAGUGGACAAAGUUGACUUCAUCUUUGUCCACUUCAUCCAGUUCGUCCAGUUCGUCAACUUUGUCCACUUCGUCCAAUUCAUCUACUUUGUCCACUUCGUCCACUUCUUCAACUUCGUCAA
rnacentral:pre_miRNA from 1 species